UAGUGUUGACAAACCUCCUUAUCAAAGCCUGAUCUUGUCAGAUCUUAAAAGCUAAGCAGGGCUCGGCCUGGUUAGCACUUAGAUGGGAGACCGCUGAGAACAACAAAAGUCAGAGUGGU
rnacentral:rRNA from 1 species